GGGUAGAGUCCAGUGUAUGGGUAGAGUCCAGUGUGUGGGUAGAGUCCAGUGUGUGGGUAGAGUCCAGUGUGUGGGUAGAGUCCAGUGCGUGGGUAGAGUCCAGUGUGUGGGGUAGAUCUAGUGUGUGGGUAGAGUCCAGUGUGUGGGUAGAUCACAGUGUGUGGGUAGAGUCCAGUGUGUGGGUAGAGUCCAGUGUAUGGGUAGAGUCCAGUGUGUGGGUAGAGUCCAGUGUGUUGGGUAGAAUCCAGUGUGUGGGUAGAGUCCAGUGUAUGGGUAGAGUCCAGUGUGUGGGUAGAGUCCAGUGUAUGGGUAGAGUCCAGUGUGUGGGUAGAGUCCUGUCUGUUGG
rnacentral:lncRNA from 1 species